GAGGCUUCAUUUGAUCACAAUACCACCUGUUGGUCAAAGAGUGUAAAACAGGCAGAUAUUUUACAGAUGAUCUAUGUGAUCUGUGAUACACUGCUCCAGAGACUGCUUUUGACUGUAUUUUGCGCUAGUAAAGACUUAGAAAUAACGAUGAAGAAAAACUCAAUUUCCAC